GAUUAACGCUAGCGGCAGGCCUAAUACAUGCAAGUCGAACGGCAGCACGGGUAGCAAUAUCUGGUGGCGAGUGGCGCACGGGUGCUUAACACGUAUGCAACUUACCUCUAACUGGGGGAUAGCCCAUCGAAAGGUGGAUUAAUACCGCAUAACAUUAUUAAAUAGCAUUAUUUGAUAAUCAAACCUCAGGGGGUUAGAGAUGGGCAUGCGUCCGAUUAGCUUGUUGGCGGGGUAAAGGCCACCAAGGCGACGAUCGAUAGCUGGUCUGAGAGGAUGAUCAGCCACACUGGAACUGAGACACGGUCCAGACUCCUACGGGAGGCAGCAGUAGGGAAUAUUGGACAAUGGGGGCGAACCCUGAUCCAGCCAUGCCGCGUGAGUGAAGAAGGCCCUCGGGUUGUAAAGCUCUUUUGUCCGGAAAGAAAGCAUCUGGUUAAUACCCGGGUGUUCUGACGGUACCGGAAGAAUAAGCACCGGCUAACUUCGUGCCAGCAG
rnacentral:rRNA from 1 species